rnacentral:lncRNA from 1 species
AUGAGAACCAAGAUAUAUCAUGUACAGGUACAAAUUCCCAAUGAUGAAUGUCAUCAUAUUGAAUACAUGAAAUGUACCAAUAAACUUUUAUUUACUCUUUUUUUUUUUUGGUAGUGGGGAUCGAACUCAGGACCUUUUGUAUUCGAGGCAGGCACCAGAACCACUGAGCUAAAUCCCCAGCCCUGUACCAAUAAAUUUAAUGAAUAAAGAAAUUUAAAAAAAAAAUUUGGGCCAGGCGUGGUGGCAUACUCCUGUAGUCUCAGCACUUGGGAGGCUGAGGCAGGCAGAUCACCACAAGUUCAAGGCCAACUUGGAGUACAUAGUGAGUUUAAGGCCAGCCUGAAGUACCCUGUCUUAGAAAAAAACCAAAAACAACAAAAACAAAUUUGCUUGUACUCUACCUUCUCCAUUUGUGGUUUCAUUCUUUGUCACCAUGGGACACGAUCCCAGCAUUCUGAUACCACAAUCAUAUUUCUCCAUAGCUGUCCAUGUUUCAUUGAACCUACAUAAGCGUAAAAAAGGACAGCUCACCUGGUUCUUUAGGCCUUCCUUUCUGAAGUCUCCUGGGUCCCUUAAUGCUAUGUUCAAAUAAAUUUGUUAUGUUUUUGUCUUGUUAAUUUGCCUUUGGUUGUAAGAGUGUCAGCCAUGAUUCCAUGAUGACCAGGAAAGAGAUCAACCCCUACUUCACCCUGUUAUGGUUUAAAUAUGAAGUAUUCCCCCAAAGACUCAUAUAAUCAGGGCUUGAUUCCCAGGGUAGUAAUUUUCAGAGGUGGGGCCUAGAGAGGUGAUUGAUCAUGCAGGUGCUAACCUCAUCAAUGGAUUAAUCCAUUGACAUCCAUUGAUGAGUUCAUAGCUGAAUGGGUUAUCGGGAGGUAGAACCCAAUUGGAGGAAGUAGGUCACUGUGGGUGUGACUUUGAAGGACAUAUCUUGUCCCCAGUACUCCCUUACUUCCCUAGCCACCGUGAGAUGAGCAGCUUUCUUCCACCAUGAUGUUCCACCCUUCUGUCAUGAUGUUUCUUUCUUGCCUCGGCCCUAAAAGCAAUGGAGUCAGCUGACCAUAGACUGAAUUCCCUUCAAAUGUGAGCCAAACUAAACCUCUCCUCCUUUUAAAUUGUGAGUGUCAGGUAUUGUGUCCAGCAACAGGAAAGCUAAUGCAAUAAUUAUAUAUUCAUUCUAUUGGCUGUAUUGUUGCCAGAGUGCCAAGGUUGUGUCCCAUGACAAUGAAGAAUAAAACUGUGGACAGAGCAGGCAGAGUGUAAGCAAAUUUAUUUAAAAGACAUAAAGGCAAGAAAGUAAAAGAUAUAAAGGCAAAAUAGAACUCCCACUAGCUGGGAGGGGGUCCUGAGCAGGAUACCCAUAAAGCCUCUUUGUCUAGGGUUUUUUAAGGGGUUUAGAAGGAACCUUAGGUGGUUGUGCAAGUGAUAUGAUUUCUACCCUAUACAAGACUACAUACUUCUCAGGGUUCUAUCUGUGCAGUAUUCAUGCAGAGGCCAUGCACCCUUAAGCGAAUGGCCUGCCAAAUCAUGCUCCGGGGAGGUCCCUGACAGCCAAAGGACACCUGGCAGAUGUUUUUGUAAGAUCCUGGGAAGUUGGUGACUCUGCUGACUCCAUUUUGAGCUUCCUGACUCCAUUUUAGGGCCACUGUCCUUACUGCUUCAUAGAAUCCUAACUUGUGUCUCAAUGUUCCUCUGGAGAACCCUGACUAAUAUAUUCCUUUGGUAGCAGGGCAUGUUGGUACAUAUCUGUAAUCUCAGCACUUUGGAAGGCUGAGGCAGAAAGAUCACAAGUUAGAGCCCAGCCUGGACAAUUUAGUGAUUUUAAAUCCUAUCUCAAAAUUAAAAGCAAAAAAAGGGCGGGAUGUAAAAGUCCUGGGUUCAAUUUCCAGUAUCAGAAAAAAAAAAUACUCCCUUGGUGACACGCCCAAGAUUCUCCCUUCCCCUUCAAGCUGCUGUGGUCACACGGAAUUUUAUCCUUUGAUUCUCCAAGCCAGUAAAACAGAGUUUGGAGUGGCAUUUUAGUCUCCCUGCCUGCUUUCCAUUAAUUUCCAGUGUAUACAGGCAGUUUUAAAAAAAAAUAUUCUGUCCAGAUUUUUUGAUUGUUGUCUGUGGAAGGGAUGGCCCAAUAGAAGCCAUGCCUUCAUUAUCAAAAUCCAGAACUAUGCAACACUUUUGGUUGCCAACAUGUAAUGAGACUCUCCAAGACAGGAAAUACAAUAUGCAGUAUUUAUAUUUAUUCAAUAAAAGAGCUUUUUUUCUUCUUUUCUCUUCUUUUUGGAACUGCUGCAGAAUGACUACUUUGCUUCAUUUUGGAAAAAACUGGUCAAAGGACAGCCUUACUCAAGAUGCUCUUACAACUUCUUGUCAAAUUACAGAUCUUGCUUAUUAUCCAUUUAAAUUUAAUUCUUGCCUAAUUAAAUGGUGUAGAAAACAUACCUGCUUGAAAUACCUUGCAAUUUAAGGUGAAAACUUGACCUUCAUUACAACGUAGGAAUGAUAAGAGAAUAUUAAAUACUUGUCAUUUCCACUUUAAAAUGUUUGAGCACCUAGGCUUUUGUAAUUGGACAAUAGAAAAAUACUUCAUAUAAGAUUGUAUUCUGAAUGUAGUCAAAAUGGCCACACUUCCAAAACUGAUAUAUAGAUUUAAUACAAUCCGAAUCAAAAUACCAACAGCAUUUCUCACAGAUCUAGAGGAAACUAUCCAAAAAUUCAUUUGAAACCAGAUGAGACCCAGAAUAGCAAAACAAUCCUGAGUAACAAAACCAAAGCAGGACCUAAAAUGUACCAAUACAUGUUUUGCUAUCAAAAACGAACAAAAGACAAAAAAAUCCAAAGCAUUAGCCAUCACAAUCCAAGAUUUGAAGUUAUAUUACAAAGCUACAGUGGCAAAAACAGCAUGAUACUGGCACAAAAAAAGACUUGUUGAUCAAUGGAACAGAAUAGAAGAAGUAGAAACAGCCCCAGGCACAUUCAGCUAUUUGACAAAGGGGCCAAAACAUACACUGAAGGAAAGAUAGCCUCUUUAACAAAUGGUACUGGGAAAAUUGAAUAUCCACAUGUAGAAGAUUGAAUCUAGUCCCAUGUAUCUCACCAUGUACUAAACUACAAUCAAAAUGGAUCAAAGAUCGGAAUGUUAAUCUGCUAGAAGAUAAAAUAGGUAAAACUCUUGAAGACAUAGAUGAAGACAAGGACUUUCUGAACAGAACUCUAUGGCACAAGAAAUAGUACUGAAGACCAAUAAAUGGGAUCAUAUUAAAAUAAAAAGCUUCUGGAUAGCAAAGAAAGCAAGCAACUGAGUGAAGAAACAACCUACAGAAUAGGAAAAAAAUUUGCCAGCUAAUCCUUAGAGGACUAACAUCUAGAAGAUAGAAAGAAUUUUAAAAAAUUAGACUCCCCAAAAUAAAGACCUAAUCAAAAAAUGGGCAAUGGAAAUGAACAGACACUUCUCACAAAAAGUACAGAUGGCCAAUAAAUAUGUGAAAAAAUGUUCAACGUCUCUGGACAUUAGAGAAAUCCAAAUUAAAACAACACCUAGAUUCUAGUUUACUCCAGAAAAAAUGGCUAUCACCAAGAAAUCAAGAAAAAAUGCUGGCAAGGCAUGGGGAAUAAGGAACUCUUCUACAUUGUUUAUAGGAAUGUAAACUUGUACAACCAAGGACAACAUGGAAAUGGUGUGGAGAUUCCUCAAAACACUACAACUAGAAAUUCCAUUUUACCUAGCUAUUCUUUAGGUAUCUUCUGGAAAGAGUUAAAGAUAUCAUAUUACCGUGAAAUAUGUAUACUCAUAUUUAUAGCACCAUAAUUCACAAUAUCUAAAUAUUAGAAAUGGCCUACAUGCUCAUCAAUAGAUGAAUGGAUAAAGAAAAUGUGGUAUUUAUACACAGUGGAGUACUACAGUACCAUAAAGAAGAAUAAAAUUGAAUCACUUAUGCUGGCCCCAGGGAUCAAAGUCAAGCUUGCUUCCACAGGGAAGAGAGGGAGCACAGAUGGCCAGGAGGGAUGGCGCAAGCCUGAAGUCAUCUCUUGUCUCAAUUAUGCCCCUCCCCUCUGUUCCUUUCUAUAAAAGGCCCUUGUGCACCUGGACACAGUGUGAUGGUGAUUUGAGGCAAAUGAGGCCCCUCCAUCUCCUUGGAGCCAGUUUUAAAUAAAGCAUUUUUCCUUUUCACCAAAAUAAAUGGCCUUCUUUGUUUGGGUCAGCAACAAGCAAAUGAAACUGAGCAUAUGGACCCACGAGGCCAGUACCACGUUAAAAGAGAAGAUGGUGAAAUAAAAGAGGAAAAC